GGGUUGUGAGGUUAAGCGACUAAGCGUACACGGUGGAUGCCAUGGCAGUCAGAGGCGAUGAAGGACGUGCUAAUCUGCGAAAAGCGUCGGUAAGGUGAUAUGAACCGUUACAGCCGGCGAUGUCCGAAUGGGGAAACCCAGUG
rnacentral:rRNA from 1 species